UGCCAGCAGCCGCGGUAAUACGUAGGGGGCAAGCGUUGUCCGGAUUUACUGGGUGUAAAGGGCGCGCAGGCGGUCUUGUCCGUCAGGUGUGAAAGCUCGGGGCUCAACCCCGGAAGUGCACUUGAAACAGCAAGACUUGAAUACGGUAGAGGAGAGAGGAAUUCCUGGUGUAGAGGUGAAAUUCGUAGAUAUCAGGAGGAACACCGAUGGCGAAGGCAUCUCUCUGGGCCGAUAUUGACGCUGAGGCGCGAAGGCGUGGGUAGCGAACGGGAUUAGAUA
rnacentral:rRNA from 1 species